GAGAAGACGGGAGAGCACUCUGUUUUGGUUCUUCACCGUCCGAGACAAAUCAUUAAAUAAAGACUGAUGUGAGAUCCACUAACAGACAGGGAGUAGAGGAGAAGAAAGACAAGUGAUAACGACUCUCUCAUCAGCUAUGGGGAAUGGUGGAAGCAGAGUAAACCCAACAGCGGUCGGGAUCGCUGUGGGUUUUGGAAUCCUGGCCAUCCUCUUCACCAUUGCCAUUGUGCAAUUCUGCUGCAAGUACAAGUGCAAAAAGUGUAAAAAAUGCUGCAAGAAAAAACAGCCGUCGUUGAAAGACAAGGUGCUUACAAAGGUCGGCUUGAAGAAGUCCCCCCUCCAUUUUCCAUCAGCAGCAUCAUAAAGUAACAACUUGGUGGCAGUUGAUUCCUGCAACCACCAUGGUCUCAGGCACAGUCAUCGUCUGUCACUUUCCUACACACCAUUUGUCUCGAUUUCAUCUUGUAUGUUAUUUGUUUCAUUUUUCAGCUGCUAUUCACAUUGAUUUUUAAACCUGAAUACUGAUGUGGGACUUUAGCACAUGAUUUUCAGAUGACCUUGAACUCUUCUAUGAACUCAUGCUUUGUAAUCAUUUUAAUGCCCUCUGGUCAACUUUAAUGUUUAGGUGUAUCAUUUAAACAAAAUGCCUGCUCAGACACACAUUUCACGCUGUUCUGUGGGUUGUUUUUUUGUUGUUGUUGCCAUUUUAACGUUAUUUUAAAAGUGAUGAAAAUACCUGUAAAUAAAUAUUCUCACACAGUUUUUCUUUGCUAGUUUUGCUCUGUGUCAUGAGAAACUGUCAUCAUGCUGCGGCAUUCUUGUGAUACGCACACGCCCUCACACCACAGAGAAACAAGCGAUCCACUGCACUGCUGAUGAGAAAAGCUUUUUGAGGUGGAGGCAGAACAUCAGCAGCGCAGCCACAGCAACCAGCCGGAUCACUUUUCUUGUAAGCUGCAGGUGACUUCCCUCCCCAUAGAUAUCUCUACUACCUUUGUGAUAC